AAGACUAUACUUUCAGGGAUCAUUUCUAUAGUUUUUACUAGAGAAGUUUCUCUGCAUGUGUAGAGUACCGAAACCCAUGAGGAAGAGAUGUAGUGUUCUCUCUUGAGUGUGAAGCUGACUUUUGGUGUUGCUUGGGAGAAAUUCAAAUCUUUUGC
ensembl:snoRNA U3 Small nucleolar RNA U3